ACAGCAGCAGCCGCGGUAAUACGUAGGAUGCAAGCGUUGUCCGGAUUUAUUGGGCGUAAAGAGUUCGUAGGCGGUUUAUUAAGUCUGAUGUUAAAGAUCGGGGCUCAACCCUGGGAGUGCAUUGGAUACUGAUAGGCUUGAGUGUGGUAGAGGCUAGUGGAAUUCCCAGUGUAGCGGUGAAAUGCGUAGAUAUUGGGAAGAACACCAGUGGCGUAGGCGACUAGCUGGGCCAUAACUGACGCUGAGGAACGAAAGCCAGGGGAGCGAAUGGGAUUAGAGACCCGGGUAGUCCCUGUCUCUUAUAC
rnacentral:rRNA from 1 species